rfam:Helianthus annuus linkage group 13, whole genome shotgun sequence.
UCCUCAGUAGCUCAGUGGUAGAGCGGUCGGCUUAACCGAUUGGUCGUAGGUUCGAAUCCUACUUGGGGAG